GAUGAACGCUGGCGGCGUGCUUAACACAUGCAAGUCGAACGGAAAGGCCCAAGCUUGCUUGGGUACUCGAGUGGCGAACGGGUGAGUAACACGUGGGUGAUCUGCCCUGCACUUCGGGAUAAGCCUGGGAAACUGGGUCUAAUACCGGAUAGGACCACUUCUUGGAUGUUGUGGUGGAAAGUUUUUUCGGUGUGGGGUGAGCUCGCGGCCUAUCAGCUUGUUGGUGGGGUAAUGGCCUACCAAGGCGUCGACGGGUAGCCGGCCUGAGAGGGUGUACGGCCACACUGGGACUGAGAUACGGCCCAGACUCCUACGGGAGGCAGCAGGGGGGAAUAUUGCACAAUGGGCGCAAGCCUGAUGCAGCGACGCCGCGUGGGGGAUGACGGCCUUCGGGUUGUAAACUCCUUUCGCUAGGGACGAAGCGUUUUGUGACGGUACCUGGAGAAGAAGCACCGGCUAACUACGUG
rnacentral:rRNA from 1 species